rnacentral:rRNA from 1 species
ACGCUCGACACCUACGGGAGCAGCAGUGAGGAAUAUUGGUCAAUGGGCGCUAGUCUGAACCAGCCAAGUAGCGUGAAGGAUGAAGGCUCUAUGGGUCGUAAACUUCUUUUAUAUAAGAAUAAAGUGCAGUAUGUAUACUGUUUUGUAUGUAUUAUAUGAAUAAGGAUCGGCUAACUCCGUGUCAGCAGCCGCGGUAAUCUGAGCGGGCUGGCAAGGC